rnacentral:rRNA from 1 species
GGUUGAUCCUGCCAGUAGUCAUAUGCUUGUCUCAAAGAUUAAGCCAUGCAUGUCUAAGUAUAAACCAAUUUAUACGGUGAAACUGCGAAUGGCUCAUUAAAUCAGUUAUAAUUUAUUUGAUAUUCAAUUACUACUUGGAUAACCGUGGUAAUUCUAGAGCUAAUACAUGCAUACAUAAUCCCGACUUCUGGAAGGGAUGCACUUAUUAGAUAAAAAGCCAAUGCGGGCAACCGCUUUGUUGGUGAUUCAUAAUAAUUAUUCGAAUCGCAUGGCCUUGAGCUGGCGAUGAUGCA